rnacentral:rRNA from 1 species
UACGUAGGUGGCAAGCGUUGUCCGGAUUUAUUGGGUUUAAAGGGUGCGUAGGCGGCCCUGUAAGUCAGUGGUGAAAUGCUCCAGCUUAACUGGAGAGGUGCCAAUGAUACUGCAGGGCUUGAGUACAGACGAGGUAGGCGGAAUUGACGGUGUAGCGGUGAAAUGCUUAGAUAUCGUCAAGAACACCGAUAGCGAAGGCAGCUUACUAGACUGUAACUGACGCUGAUGCACGAAAGUGUGGGGGAUCAAACAGG